AAACGCUUGGAGUCAGUCGUGUCUUGUAGAAAUCAACUUGACCUUGGUUGGGUGUACUUUCUGCUGGACAGGUCAGCAUCAAUUUUGAUCGUUGGAUAAAGACUUGAGGAAUGUGGCAGCUUGCUGUGUUAUAGCCUCUUGUUCAGAUACAAUGGUUGGGAUUGAGGAACUCAGUGUGACUUCGGUUUGGCCCUCGGGUACAUCCCACACUUAGGAUGCUGGCAUAAUGGCUUUAAUCGA
rnacentral:rRNA from 1 species